rnacentral:rRNA from 1 species
GACGAACGCUGGCGGCGUGCUUAACACAUGCAAGUCGAACGGUGAACCUCUUCGGAGGGGAUCAGUGGCGAACGGGUGAGUAACACGUGGGCAACCUGCCCCCGGCUCUGGGAUAACUCCAAGAAAUUGGGGCUAAUACCGGAUGUUCACCGCUUCCCGCAUGGGUGGUGGUGCAAAGGGUUUCCGGCUGGGGAUGGGCCCGCGGCCUAUCAGCUUGUUGGUGGGGUAGUGGCCUACCAAGGCGACGACGGGUAGCCGGCCUGAGAGGGUGACCGGCCACACUGGGACUGGGGCACGGCCCAGACUCCUACGGGAGGCAGGGGUGGAGAAUAGUGCGCAAUGGGCGGAGGCCUGACGCAGCGACGCCGCGUGGGGGAUGACGGCCUUCGGGUUGUAAACCUCUUUCAGCAGGGACGAAGCGCAAGUGACGGUACCUGCAGAAGAAGCACCGGCCAACUACAU